AGGCUCCCCUUCUCCCUCUUUUGCUCCUUUUACUUUCUUUUCAUUGCUUCCCUCUUCUUCUCCUCCUUCCCGCUCAUGUCCUCCAUCUUCUUUUUCCCUUGCUUUUUUCAGCAACAAGAGCUUGCUGAAGUGCUUCCAUGUGUUCCAAUUCUUCUUCCUUGUCCUUCAUUAUUUUUGUAUAAGGUUCUUCUCCUGAUAUGAGCAGCACUGAGGCAGAGAUUUCAGAGAGACUUUGAAGGCGAAUUCAAAAGACACUUGGUGGUUUACUUAGUUAUGUUACGGUUGUUGUUACUGUUUUAGUAGUUCAAUUUUUUGUAUAGGCUUGUUUAAGCCCUUCCUUGUAUGUUGUAACAGUUUUUCAUAUUAAUAAAAAUGAUUGUUAUUCUAUUUCGUAUGUCUUGGCUAUAUGUUUUAACAAAUGUGAAAGCGCUGUUCGGCACAGUAGUAUAGCAUUUGAAUCAAUAAUAACUAAGGUCAAAGUAAUCGUUCCUAAAAAGAUGUCACGAUAACUCUAACAAAAAUAUUAUUCAACAUGGAAAUCCGACCAGUAAGGAAUGAGACUUAUCUUAAAAUUGGCCGUGAUGUGUGUCAAAUGCUUCGAUAAGAUGUAAGAAGUAGCUAUCCGAGGACGUGUUACCCAUCGGAUGAAUGGCCUCCUUUGGUUGACGAUCAUUAGGUUGUUCUGCCAUCUUCAUGAUGCGCGAGACUUAACCCUUUCCAGUAUUGAAGCCGAGAAAUUUCUUCAUUCGGCCAGUUGAUCUCCCAAUGAGCCUGAGUCCGAGGACUUUGUAAAACCUGGGUUUUGUUCUAGACUUAUGCGUUUUAUCCUAUGUACUUGACUUUUCCCCUUAGGCUUGAGUUCGAGACUUGGGUCUUUAUUGGUACUAGGUUUUUCCUUUUUAGCUUGAGUCCGAGGACCAUGCAAGCCUUAGGUUCUGUCCGGGACCAACGUCUGCAUCAGUACUUGGUUUUCCCUUUUAACUUGAGUCCGAGGACCAUGCAAGCCUUAGGUUCUGUCCAGGACCAACGUCUGCAUCAAUACUUGGUUUUCCCUUUUAACUUGAGUCCGAGGACCAUGCAAGCCUUAGGUUCUGUCCAAGACCAAUGUCUGCGUCAAUACUUGGUUUUCCCUUUUAACUUGAGUCCGAGGACCAUGCAAGCCUUAGGUUCUGUCCAAGACCAAUGUCUGCGUCAGUACUGGGUUUUCCCUUUUAACUUGAGCAUUUCUCGAGGUGCCGAACAGGGUGUCCCUGGGCCUUCACGCAAAGCGGGCCUGGGCCGCGAAUUCAAUGGACCCGCAAAUUAAGGGAUAUUUCUGCAACCUCUGGCCAUGCAGUACUUCUCUGACGCCCCAAGGAUCGAGGCGCGCCUUUACGAGGCUCUUUGAAUCUCUUGGCUGCAGUUGACGUUGGAAGUUGAGCCAAGACUACUUUGUCUGUAGUGCUCCUUGGGACGCCGCAUGAGUUGACUGCCAUCAUCCUGUCUUUUCAAAUAAAUAGGAGGAAGAAAAGGGUGCUUUAUAUAUAUACACCCCUCCUUUUGGUUUUCUCUUACAUCACGCCUUCCAUAUCCGGAGUCCUCCUUUCUUGGCAUAACAUGUUGAAAACGAGGGUUGGGAAGAAAGAACUUCCUCCACCGCAGAAGCGCCGUGUCUUUAUGAGGUUUAUAACAGUAAGGUAUGGGCACAGGAAGCACAAGUUCAAGGGAGUACUCCAUCUCCACCGAGAGGGAAAGGAAUUUUCCCCUCUUUCAGUCAAAAUCCGAAGCAGGUUCUGUCGUUGCCAGAGUUUUGGUGCGGCAGAAGAAGGGUUUUUCCCCAUCAGCGCCUCUGCUUUGCGGUAGGCGUAUAUUUAGAGAAAGCCCCACCACCUCCAACUCCCUACACCUUUUCUUCAACGGUGUCAGGUUCAAGUUGGGUCUUUUUGGCUGCCUGAGUUAUGGGCAGGCAAAGAUGCGGGGGAAGAAUAAGGUCUCGGGGCUGUAGCCAACCUCUCCUCCGACAUACCUCCUCGGCUUUCUACAGCUUUCUUGUAUUUUUCUUUUUCUUGCUUAUGUAGUAGGCUUCGACGUAGGC